GUGGGAGAGGAGCAGAGUGUGGCCUGGUGUCUGGUCUUACUAUUUGACAGACUGUCAGUACACCUCUGCCCCUGGUGCCCAC
rnacentral:miRNA from 1 species